AACGUAGGACACGAGCGUUAUCCGGAGUUACUGGGCGUAAAGGGCGGGUAGGUGGUGCGAUAAGACUGGUGUGAAAGCCUUCGGCUUAACCGAGGGAGGACACUGGUGACUGUCGGACUUGAGGCAGAUAGAGGGGUGUAGAAUUCCGGGUGUAGUGGUGAAAUGCGUAGAGAUCCGGAGGAAUACCAGUGGCGAAGGCGAGUCUCUGGACACUUCCUGACGCUGAGGCACGAAAGCCAGGGGAGCAAACGGG
rnacentral:rRNA from 1 species